rnacentral:sRNA from 2 species
CCCUAGCCCCGAUAGAAGUGGAAAUCCUUUUGUGGCGGGGUUCGCCACAAAAGAUUGGAACGGAUAGCGGGAUUAGCU